UCACCCUUCACAUUACCCUCUCUCUCUCUCUCUCUCUCUCUCUCUCCUUCCGAAUGUGUUGAUUUGGUUUAAAACAAUAGAACUUCAAAAAUCACGAUUUGGUUCCUCGACAUUCAAAUCGUCACCAGAUCGAUAUCAAAUUGAUUUAGUCUUCAAGGGAGGAAAUAGAAUAUCGACAAUGGUGGAGGCGAUGAGGGUGGGGGGAAUGGAUUUAAGUUUCGAAAUCGGGUUUAAAGGUAGGGGAACAUAUGCCAUUCUUGAAGCUGAUGAAUAUCAAUCCAUCAAAGAUUAACAAUUUCGUUAGAUCCUCAAGAAAAAUCACAAAACUGUUGUGAGCGGCAACCCUGCUGCCCAUAACAUUAACGCACCACCGUUGGACGGUUUUUUUUACAAUCUGGAAAUAUGGAGGUCACUAAGAUAUCGGUCAGCUGAAGAGCACAAGUUAUUAAUGAAGAUUGGUACGGAUCCUAAUAUAUCAAUAGUUUUGUUGACGGUGCUGUAAAAACAUGAGGGGAUAUGUUGUCUUUUUUGUUAAUCCUUCUAACAAUAAGGGCCAAUCAUCCAAAGAGCUACAUAUCAAGUAUUGAUGACUAGGAGCAGAAUCCACAUGGGUGUUGGGUUGAUUCCUCUAAAUGCAUCAUAUUCAUAUGGAUCACUAACUAACCACCAUGUAUGUAUAUAUUUCUAAUUUCUUUUCUUGGAAAGUUCUUGUGUUAAUUUACUAAUUUUUCCAUUAUCACAGCCAGUGGGAUUAUUAAUAAAAACUUAAGAAUGACUUGAAGAAGGAAUCACUGAUUGACCAUACAAGAGAAAGACUUGGAAUUGAGUUCAAUAACAAGUUACAUUGAAGAAGAUUAAGUGUAAACAAGUCGAUUAUUUGGACCAUUGAAGAAGAUUAAGUGUAUUUGUUCAAUAAUUGUAUAUUUGAGAAUGCUAAUCUUAAGAACUUUAUUCAUUUUGAUGAUACUUUGUUAGAAUAUUUACAAUUAUAUUAAAAUGUAUCAGUCUGUAAGAAUAUUUAUAAAUUUGUAUUUAAGUUUGGACGUGUACGAAUAUAUUAGAAUGUUGUUAUUAUUAAA